CUUGAUUCUAUGGGUGGUGGU
rnacentral:siRNA from 1 species